rnacentral:rRNA from 1 species
AAGUGUGGACGCCAGUCUGCAUGGAGCCGACCUUGAAAUACCACCCUUUAAUGUUUGAUGUUCUAACGUUGGCCCCUGAUCGGGGUUGCGGACAGUGUCUGGUGGGUAGUUUGACUGGGGCGGUCUCCUCCUAAAGAGUAACGGAGGAGCACGAAGGUUGGCUAAUCCUGGUCGGACAUCAGGAGGUUAGUGCAAUGGCAUAAGCCAGCUUGACUGCGAGCGUGACGGCGCGAGCAGGUGCGAAAGCAGGUCAUAGUGAUCCGGUGGUUCUGAAUGGAAGGGCCAUCGCUCAACGGAUAAAAGGUACUCCGGGGAUAACAGGCUGAUACCGCCCAAGAGUUCAUAUCGACGGCGGUGUUUGGCACCUCGAUGUCGGCUCAUCACAUCCUGGGGCUGAAGUAGGUCCCAAGGGUAUGGCUGUUCGCCAUUUAAAGUGGUACGCGAGCUGGGUUUAGAACGUCGUGAGACAGUUCGGUCCCUAUCUGCCGUGGGCGCUGGAGAACUGAGGGGGGCUGCUCCUAGUACGAGAGGACCGGAGUGGACGCAUCACUGGUGUUCGGGUUGUCAUGCCAAUGGCACUGCCCGGUAGCUAAAUGCGGAAGAGAUAAGUGCUGAAAGCAUCUAAGCACGAAACUUGC